GCUUACGGCCAUACCAGCCCAAGAACGCCCUGGUCUCGUCUGAUCUCGGAAGCUAAGAAUGCUUGGGCCUCGGGUUAGUACUUGGAUGGGAGACCUCCUGGGAAUAAUACCAGGCUGCUGUAAGCU
ensembl:rRNA 5S_rRNA 5S ribosomal RNA